GGGCCCAUGGUAUAGCGGUAACACAUCUCCAUGGCAUGGAGAAGUCCGGGGUUCAAUUCCCCGUGGGUCCA
rnacentral:tRNA from 1 species